CCCAGACUCCUACGGGAGGCAGCAGUGAGGAAUAUUGGUCAAUGGGCGCGAGCCUGAACCAGCCAAGUCGCGUGAGGGAAGGCGGUCCUAUGGAUUGUAAACCUCUUUUGCCGGGGAGCAAAAAGCGGUACGCGUACCGCAUCGAGAGUACCCGGAGAAAAAGCAUCGGCUAACUCCGUGCCAGCAGCCGCGGUAAUACGGAGGAUGCGAGCGUUAUCCGGAUUUAUUGGGUUUAAAGGGUGCGUAGGCGGGAUGCCAAGUCAGCGGUAAAAAUGCGGUGCUCAACGCCGUCGAGCCGUUGAAACUGGCGUUCUUGAGUGGGCGAGAAGUAUGCGGAAUGCGUGGUGUAGCGGUGAAAUGCAUAGAUAUCACGCAGAACUCCGAUUGCGAAGGCAGCAUACCGGCGCCCUACUGACGCUGAGGCACGAAAGCGUGGGUAUCGAACAGGAUUAGAUACCCUCGUAACG
rnacentral:rRNA from 1 species